rnacentral:rRNA from 1 species
AGAGUGAACGCUGGCGGUAGGCCUAACACAUGCAAGUCGAACGGCAGCACAGUGGUAGCAAUACCAUGGGUGGCGAGUGGCGGACGGGUGAGGAAUACAUCGGAAUCUACCUUUUCGUGGGGGAUAACGUAGGGAAACUUACGCUAAUACCGCAUACGCCCUUCGGGGGAAAGCCGGGGAUCGCAAGACCUGGCGCGGAUAGAUGAGCCGAUGUCGGAUUAGCUAGUUGGUGAGGUAAUGGCUCACCAAGGCGACGAUCCGUAGCUGGUCUGAGAGGAUGAUCAGCCACACUGGAACUGAGACACGGUCCGGACUCCUACGGGAGCAGCAGUGGGGGAAUAGUU